GACGAACGCUGGCGGCGUGCUUAACACAUGCAAGUCGAACGGAAAGGCCCUGCUUUUGUGGGGUGCUCGAGUGGCGAACGGGUGAGUAACACGUGAGUAACCUGCCCUUGUCUUUGGGAUAACUUCAGGAAACUGGGGCUCAUACCGGAUAGGAGCUCCUGCUGCAUGGUGGGGGUUGGAAAGUUUCGGCGGUUGGGGAUGGACUCGCGGCUUAUCAGCUUGUUGGUGGGGUAGUGGCUUACCAAGGCUUUGACGGGUAGCCGGCCUGAGAGGGUGAACGGCCACAAUGGGACUGAGAUACGGCCCAGACUCCUACGGGAGGCAGCAGUGGGGAAUAUUGCACAAUGGGCGGAAGCCUGAUGCAGCAACGCCGCGUGCGGGAUGACGGCCUUCGGGUUGUAAACCGCUUUCGCCUGUGACGAAGCGUGAGUGACGGUAAUGGGUAAAGAAGCACCGGCUAACUACGUG
rnacentral:rRNA from 1 species